UACGAAGGGGGCGAGCGUUGUUCGGAUUUACUGGGCGUAAAGCGCACGCAGGCGGUCUGUCAAGUCGGAUGUGAAAUCCCCGGGCUCAACCUGGGAACUGCAUUCGAAACUGGCAGGCUAGAGUCUUGUAGAGGGGGGUAGAAUUCCAGGUGUAGCGGUGAAAUGCGUAGAGAUCUGGAGGAAUACCGGUGGCGAAGGCGGCCCCCUGGACAAAGACUGACGCUCAGGUGCGAAAGCGUGGGGAGCAAACAGG
rnacentral:rRNA from 1 species